ensembl:lncRNA
CAAAUUAAAUCAAAGUAAGUAAAGUUUGGUCAGUUUACUAACUGAUCUGUCUCUUCAUCCACCUGUCACUCUUUAUUUCCCUCUGUGUCUACCUCUACCUGUUUGUAUACGUACCUGUUUCUCUCUAUAUUUAACUGUCGGUCUACUUGAUCCGUCUCUUUUCUACCUGAAGAACAAGAACAAAACUUAAACACAUAUGUAGAAGAAUGAAAAGAAUAAAAUCAUUAAGAACUGGCUAAAUUGAACUUAUAAGCACCUCAGAUACUACUAAAAUCACACUGUACUCACAAAGUGAGUAUAUAAAUUCACACAUGAACUAAUACAGUACAGAAUGAGAACACCUUGAAACAUCCUUAAUCCUGUAGUGACUGUGAAACAAAAAAAUAAAACAUUUAGAAACACUGUCACUGUGGUAAGUACAGAAUUGUAAAAAUAAGUAUGAACGGAGACUGUUGAAGGAGAGACAGAAAAUGUGUUCAAAAUGGGACAGAAAGUACAAAGAUGAGACAACAAGAAGUGACGGAAAGGAGAGAGCCAAGAUGUAGUACACAGCCUGUGUAUGCCAGGAAUCUUUUAUUAUUUUUUAUCCUAAAUACACUUUUAUCACCAUGCCAAUGAAGUGGAACGACGCUGUUUGUCUCAACUUCCAACAUUUUAAAAAUUUGAGCGUUAUUAUUACAGUGUGAUGAUAGAAGGUAACAAUUACUUUAUAUAUUGACUUUAUAUUAAGUUUAAGACAAACUAUCCUGUUUUUUUCUUAGGUCCGCUGGAUUCCACAGUGAUCAGUUCGGGUGUGACAGCAGCUCAGUCUGUGGAUAAGAGCAGCGGUUUCAGUCUGGACUCUCUUUCAGAUCCUGCUUAUCACUCUGACAUCAGCAUCAACCAAUCAGGACCAGACCACAGCUCUUUGAGCUCAGCGCCCGACCAAUCACAUUCCAGCUCUUUCUCUGUCUCAGGCUUCUCCCACUUUGCAGUCCAGGGGGAUGUAGCAGAUUCAUCAUCUUCAUCCCACAGUGAAGCUCAAAGAGUACAGACAGACGGAGCCGACCUACCCAACACUAACGGGGGAGGGUCGACGACGACAGAGCCGACGGGUGGUCCAAGAGUCCCGCCCUCCUCUGACUCUGAUUGGUUCAUUUCAGGUUCACGGCUAAUCAA